rnacentral:rRNA from 1 species
UACGAAGGGGGCUAGCGUUGUUCGGAAUUACUGGGCGUAAAGCGCGCGCAGGCGGCUAUCCAAGUCAGUGGUGAAAGCCCGGAGCUCAACUCCGGAGCUGCCAUUGAAACUGUUUAGCUUGAGGAUGAGAGAGGUGAGUGGAAUUCCCAGUGUAGAGGUGAAAUUCGUAGAUAUUGGGAAGAACACUAAACAGCGAAGGCACUUUACUAGGCUAAUACUGACGCUGAGAAACGAAAGGUAAGGUAGCGAAACGG